AGGGAAAGGUGAAAAGAACCCCGGGAGGGGAGUGAAAUAGAACCUGAAACCGUGUGCUUACAAGCGGUCAGAGCAGAGCCUUCGGGCGUGUGAUGGCGUGCCUUUUGGAGAAUGAUCCUGCGAGUUACGAUCAAUGGCGAGGUUAAGUAUAACGGAGCCGAAGGGAAACCAAGUCUGAAUAGGGCGAAUUAGUCGUUGGUUGUAGACGCGAAACCUGGUGAUCUAUGCCUGUCCAAGAUGAAGCUGUGGUAAGACACAGUGGAGGUCUGAACCCACCGUCGUUGAAAAGCCGGGGGAUGAGGUAGGUAUAGGGGUGAAAAGCCAAUCGAACCAGGAGAUAGCUCGUUCUCUCCGAAAUGCAUUUAGGUGCAGCCUUGAUUGUUUAAAUAUGGGGGUAGAGCACUGAAUGGUCUAGCGGGCAUAUUGCUUAGCGAAAUCAAUCAAACUCCGAAUACCAUAUUUCAAGAGAUCAGGAGUGAGACUAUGGGUACUAAGAUCCAUGGUCAAAAGGGAAACAGCCCAGACCACCAACUAAGGUCCCAAAUUAUAUCUAAGUGGGAAAGGAGGUGGAGAUUCUGAAACAACCAGGAUGUUGGCUUAGAAGCAGCCAUACAUUUAAAGAGUGCGUAAUAGCUCACUGGUCGAGAGUCUCUGCGCCGACAAUGUAACGGGGCUAAGAUAUAAACCGAAGUUGUGGAGUAUACACUAUGUGUAGACUGGUAGGAGAGCGUUCCGUAGGCCGUUGAAGGAUAAGGGGUGACCCAAUCUGGAGGUAUCGGAAGUGAGAAUGCAGGAAUGAGUAGCGAGAAAGAGGGUGAGAAUCCCUCUCGCCGGAAAACCAAGGUUUCCAGAGUAAAGCUUGUCUUCUCUGGGUAAGCCGGGACCUAAGCCGAGGCUAGAUUGCGUAGGCGAAUGGAAAGCAGUUUAAUAUUACUGCGCCACUAUAAUUUGUUUGAGAGAUGGAGGGACGCAGAAGGGUAUGUGCGCAGACUGUUGGAUAUGUCUGUGUAAGCAUGUAGGAUGGAACCGCAGGAAAAUCCACGGUUUUAGAUCUGAGGUGUUAUGCGGAGUGUUUGUAAUGAACACGAAGGUACAAAUCCCACGCUGCCGAGAAAAGCUUCUAUUGAGAAUUAAAGUGCCCGUACCGUAAACCGACACAGGUGGUUAGGAUGAGAAAUCUAAGGCGUACAGGCUAACUCUCGCUAAGGAACUCUGCAAAAUGGCCCCGUAACUUCGGGAGAAGGGGUGCCAUUAAAGGUAAUAGAAACACGCGUUCUAAAGCUUUUGAUGGCCGCAGUGAAGAGAUUCGAGCAACUGUUUAGCAAAAACACAGGUCUAUGCUAAGCUGAAAGGCGAUGUAUAUGGGCUGACACCUGCCCAGUGCCGGAAGGUUAAGAGGAGGGUUUAGCGACUCAAAUUGAAGCCCCGGUGAACGGCGGCCGUAACUAUAACGGUCCUAAGGUAGCGAAAUUCCUUGUCGG
rnacentral:rRNA from 1 species